rnacentral:lncRNA from 1 species
CUCUCCUCCCUGCUUCCCUGGGUUGGUUUUCCUCUGGAAAAUCAGAUAGGGUCUCACCAUGUUGCCCAAGCUGGUCUUGAACUCCUGGCACAAGCGAUCCUCCUGCCUCAGCCUCUGGAGUAGCAGGGACUACAGGCGCACACCACCACACCUGGCCAUAUACAUCACAUGUUGUUUAUACAUUCGUCUAUUGAUGGACAUGGGCAUCGCCUCCACCUUUUAAGGCUGGUCACUGCCGCCUAAAUUCUGUUUAAUUCUGUUUUUAAUUUUAAUUCUGCUCCUCUGAGAUGAGCCAGCUUGUGCAUGAUGCAAGGCUUGAAGGAAAACACGGCUGCAUGGAUCACUGGGCCACUGGACUGAGCUGCUUUGAAGCUGGCAAUCCAGGAACCUCUGGAUUUGUGGAUCUGUGAAGCAAUGAGUUUCUUCAUUGUUAAAUUGAGGUUUAGGUCUCUUACAGCUAUGAGCCGCCUAGAUGAUGCAUCUUCCGAGAAGUUGCCCAGUUUCAAAAAUUACAGAAGAAAACAAAAAUGAACAGAACCACAGAAAAGUGGAAAUUAUUUUGCUGAUGUGAAUGCUG